GACCCGACUGCUAUUUGGGUGAGAAUAAGCCAUGCGAGUUGAAUGGGAUACCUAAAGUUCCCAUAGCGAACUGCUCAGUAACACAUGAUCAACUUACCCUAUAGAGAAAAAUAACCUCGGGAAACUGAGGAUAAUGUUUCAUAAUUGAAUUGGCUUGGAAAAGUUUUUCAAUGAAAGGGAUAAAAAAAAUGGUUUUUAUCUGCUAUAGGAUAGGAUCGUGUUCGAUUAUGGUUGUUGGUGAGAUAAUGGCUCACCAAGCCGAUAAUCGAUAGGGGCCGUGAGAGCGGGAGCCCCGAGAUGGGUACUGAGACAACGACCCAGGCCUUACGAGGCGCAGCAGGCGCGGAACCUCCGCAAUACACGAAAGUGUGACGGGGUUACCCAAAGUGUUCAAUAGAACUGUGGUAGGUGAGUAAUGUCCCCUACUAGAAAGGAGAGGGCAAGGCUGGUGCCAGCCGCCGCGGUAAAACCAGCUCUUCAAGUGGUCGGGAUAAUUAUUGGGCUUAAAGUGUCCGUAGCCGGUUUAGCAAGUUCCUGGUAAAAUCGGGUAGCUUAACUAUCUGCAUGCUAGGAAUACUGCUAUACUAGAGGGCGGGAGAGGUCUGAGGUACUACAGGGGUAGGGGUGAAAUCUUAUAAUCCUUGUAGGACCACCAGUGGCGAANGCGUCAGACUGGAACGCGCCUGACGGUGAGGGACGAAAGCCAGGGGAGCGAACCGGAUUAGAUACCCGGGUAGUCCUGGCCGUAAACGAUGCAUACUANGUGAUGGUACGGCCAUGAGCCGUAUCAGUGCCGUNNGGAAACCGUUAAGUGUGCCGCCUGGGAAGUACGGUCGCAAGGCUAAAACUUAA
rnacentral:rRNA from 1 species